UACGAAGGGGGCUAGCGUUGCUCGGAAUCACUGGGCGUAAAGCGCGUGUAGGCGGUUGUUCAAGUCAGGUGUGAAAGCCUUGAGCUCAACUCAAGAAAUGCACUUGAUACUGGAUGACUAGAGGACCGGAGAGGAUAGUGGAAUUCCCAGUGUAGUGGUGAAAUACGUAGAGAUUGGGAAGAACACCAGUGGCGAAGGCGGCUAUCUGGACGGUUUCUGACGCUAAGACGCGAAAGCGUGGGGAGCAAACAGG
rnacentral:rRNA from 1 species